UAGCGUAUAUGUAAAUUGUUGCGGUUGAAAAGCUCGUAGUUGGACUUCUGGCGACCGCGGUCGGUCCGCCUCGUGCGAGCACUGACCGCGGCCGUCGUUUCUGUCGACGGUGCGCGUCGGGCUUCACUGGUCGGUGCGUUCUCUGUCGGCGACGUUACUUUGAGGAAAUCAGAGUGCUUAAGGCAAGCGUUCGCUCGUGACUUCACUAGCAUGGAAUAACACAGAUGGGCUCUUUCUCGCAAUGUUGGUCUGCGUCAAUUGAGCAACGAUCGAUAGAGACGGUCGGGGGCAUUCGUAUUGCGCAGUUAGAGGUGAAAUUCUCCGAUCUGCGCAAGACGCACUAAUGCGAAAGCAGUUGCCAAGGACGUCCUCUUAUGAUCAAGAGCGAAAGUCGGGGGAUCAAAGAUGAUUAGAUACCGUCGUAGUCCCGACCAUAAAUGAUGCCGACUGAGCGUCGGCGACUCGGCUCUUGGCCGAACGUCGGCGCUCUUGAGAGAAAUUAAAGUCUUUGGGCUCCGGGGGUAGUAUGGUCGCAAGUCUGAAACUUGAAGGAAUUGACGGAAGGGCACCACAAGGCGUGGAUGUUGCGGCUUAAUUUGACUCAACACGGGAAAGCUUACUAGGUUUGGACACUUGAAUGAGGGACAUAUUGAAGCUCUUACCUUUUUUUGUGGAUGGUGGUGCAUGGUCGUUCUCAGCCCGUGGGUUGACCUGUCAGGUUUACUCCGGUAACGCGCGAGACCUCGGUUUGCUAAAUAGACGCGGCUGUCGCGGCACCCGCGCUCUUCUUAGAGAGAGACUUGGCGCGAGUCAAGGGAAGUCGAGGCAAUAACAGAUCUGUGAUGCCCUUAGUUAUCCUAGGUCGCACGCGCCAUACAAUGUGGCGCACAACGAGUUUCCUUGGCCGACAGGAGCUGGGUAAUCUGGCAGAGCGCUACGUGACUGGGCUAGACUAUUGUAAUUGUUGGUCUUGAACGAGGAAUGCCUAGUAAUCGCAGGUCAUCAUCCUGCGAUGAUUCGGUCCCUGCCCUUUGUACACACCGCCCGUCGCUCCAUCCGUGGCAUGCGCCGGUGAAGAGGGGGAGGCAGCGUCGGGCCAGUAACAUGGCAUCGUACGUGGAACCCCUCUGAACCUUCGCACGUAGAGGAAGGAGAAGUCGUAACAAGGUUUUCGUAGGUGAACCUGCGAAAGGAUCAUUAUCGGCAC
rnacentral:rRNA from 1 species